rnacentral:rRNA from 1 species
GUAACACGUAGAUAAUCUGCCUUUAAGGUCUGACAUAACUCGUCGAAAGACGGGCUAAUAUCAGAUAAAACAAUAACUUGGCAUCAAGUAAUUGUCAAAGCUUCGGCGCCCAAAGAUGAGUCUGCGGACCAUUAGGUAGUUGGUGGAUUAACAGCCCACCAAGCCAACGAUGGAUUAGCUGGUCUGAGAGGGAUGAUCAGCCACACUGGAACUGAGACACGGUCCAGACUCCUACGGGAGGCAGCAGUAAGGAAUAUUGCUCAAUGGGAGAAAUCCUGAAGCAGCAACGCCGCGUGAAGGAAGAAGGGUCUUCGACUUGUAAACUUCUGUAGAAGAGGAAAAAUACUCCGAUAUACUCGGAAUUGAUUGUACUCUUAAAGUAAGCCCCGGCUAACUACGUG